UACUAAGUGUCCUGUUGCUACUGAUAGGUUUAAUCUACACUGCUCACUGUCAAAAUCGUGGAACUGUUCGACUAGUCAGAAAUGAAUUUUUCUCACCAUUUUAUACAGCUGGGAUAGU